rnacentral:rRNA from 1 species
CAGUAGCCGCGGUAAUACGAAGGGUGCAAGCGUUAAUCGGAAUUACUGGGCGUAAAGCGUGCGUAGGCGGUGAGCUAAGUCUGCUGUGAAAUCCCCGGGCUCAACCUGGGAAUGGCAGUGGAUACUGGCUCGCUAGAGUGUGUCAGAGGAUGGUGGAAUUCCCGGUGUAGCGGUGAAAUGCGUAGAGAUCGGGAGGAACAUCAGUGGCGAAGGCGGCCAUCUGGGACAACACUGACGCUGAGGCACGAAAGCGUGGGGAGCAAACAGGAUUAGAUACCCCAGUAGUCCCUGUCUCUUAUAC